AUUGAACGCUGGCGGCAAGCCUAACACAUGCAAGUCGAACGAGUGGCGGACGGGUGAGUACUGUCUGGGAAACUGCCUGAUGGAGGGGGAUAACUACUGGAAACGGUAGCUAAUACCGCAUACCAUCGGAUGUGCCCCGAUGGGAUUAGCUAGUAGGUGGGGUAAAGGCGCACCAAGGCGACGAUCCCUAGCUGGUCUGCGAGGAUGACCAGCCACACUGGAACUGAGACACGUUCCAGACUCCUACGGGAGGCAGCAGUGGGGAAUAUUGCACAAUGGGCGCAAGCCUGAUGCAGCCAUGCCGCGUGUAUGAAGAAGGCCUUCGGGGUGUAAAGUACUUUCAGCGGGGAGGCGUUACCCGCAGAAGAAGCACCGGCUAACUCCGUGCCAGCAGCCGCGGUAAUUC
rnacentral:rRNA from 1 species